AUGUGUAUAUUUCUAGAAAAGCUGAACCCGUGCAUGCAUGCAGAGGACUGGGCAAGAAGAGGAGUUAUUCUGCUGCAGCAACAAGGAGUUCUACAUAGUGUUCAAAGGCGCUGAAGGAGGUAGUGAUAUGGGACACAGUAAGCUAAUGUGGUGCUCUCUGGAGUUUGUUACCCUCUCAAUGGUUUCUGUUGCUUUGUGCUGUACCUAUAGCAUUGCUGAAACUCAGACCAUUGGAGUGCUAUGAUUGAAAAAUUAAAAUAAGAUGAUAAGCUUCAGCUCCAUAAAAGGGAAACCUGUCUUCUGCAUGGAAUCAUUAAAAGCUGGACUGAGUUGUUUGGGGCAGUGUGCAUGCAGCAGUAUAGGCAAAAACAGGAUGGAUGGUCAACUGAGCAUUGGGGGAGAGGGUAGGCUAGACAAUCUAUGAAUUCCCUUUUCCUGAGCCUUACUUAGUUUUGUCUUAAAAUCCAUCCUCAGCUUUGGUACCUUGGCUUUUUGGGUAAGCUGCCUUUUCUUGUUCUCAAGGAGCCAUAGCUUGUUACUGUGCUGUAUGGUGGUAGAGGCAAUUAAUCCUCUUCAUUAUCACUGAUUCUCCUUUUUCACCAAUGAUGCUAAUAGAGUAACUACUAAAGAUGUAUUGGUGCGUCUGAAGUCAGUCAUACCAAUAUUCCUGCAAACCAAGACUUGCCUUACUUUUAAUAAAUACUCUUAAUGUAUCUGCUUGUCUCCCAUUUGACUUAGUGCAAAUAAGAAGUGAUUGAAAAUUACGGCACUAUAUUUUAGCAAAGAUUCGACUAAGUCAUUAUCAAGACCAUUUUGUAUUACCAGAAAACUCCUGUGCAUUUCUAGCAAUCAGGUUUUUGCAGUAGCCUGCAUCUCAAACAAAAGGUUGGUCUACUAAACCUUUACUCAAAGUCAGACAAUAUCAAUUUAUUUUCUGGUAGACUUUCAAGCAGCCAAGUCUUUUCUUGAUAUUAUUUUUAUAUGAAAUGUUUAAACUUAGGCACCUGAAUCAUCUAUUUUUUCUUUUUUGGGGGGAGGGUUGUAGCCAUGAGCAUAUGUGAUGAUGCCUUCUGAAAUAUUAACCUCUACUUUCUUUAACCCUUUCUUCACAAAACCUUUACUCUAUUCAAUCACAGAUACCAACUUUGCCUCUGGAGACAUGAAGGAUUGUUUCAUAAGACUCAGAAAAGAAAGAAGCAAUAAGUCAGUGGUCUCCUUAUCCCCAAACAGGUUUUUGAGAAACAAAAGGGAAAACCCAAUGGUUGGCAAUACAGAGUCUAUUACAUCACAAGAGCUUCAGGAAGAAUAGAGGUCCCUCUUCUGCCUCUUAUAUUGGCUAGGAUAGCUACAAAGAGGAAAGGAGGGAAGAUGGCUCAAUAUGGUGUGAGAGGAAGUCAAAUGGGGAGAGGGGGGAUGGAAGAAAAACUUUUGGGGGCAAAUAGUCCUAACGGUAGACAAUUGCCAAGUGGCAUAGGUGGACACCCCCAAAGAGUAUGAGGAGCAAAGUCUGAAUAAUCUCACAGUAACACUGUGUUACACGAAGAAUGUUCCUCACGGUGGUUUUGUGAUUUUUCAUUAUUACUUAAGGAAAACACAAAACUUAAUGUUAGAGAUUAAAAUAUUUCUUAGAUUCUGUGAUCGGCACAUAUCAGGGAUGCUGUUUUUCCAGGUCUACAGUAUCUGCAGCCUCAAAUGGAAGAUGCAGAAGUUAGUUGAAUUGUGUUAUACCAGAAUAUUUUGUUACAUAGAAAGUUAUAGUUACUUUUUUAAAAUUAAAAAAAAAUUAUUAGAUAUUUUCUUUAUAUACAUUUCAAAUGCUAUCCCGAAAGUUCCCUAUACCCUUCCCCUGCCCUGAUUCCCUACCCACCCACUCCCGCUUCUUGGCCCUGGCAUUUCCCUGUACUGGGGCAUAUAAAGUUUGCAAUACCAAUGGGCCUCUCUUCCCAGUGACGGCCGAUAAGGCCAUCUUCUGCUACAUAUGUAGCUAGAGAUACGAGCUCUGGGAGUACUGGUUAGUUCAUAUUGUUGUUCCACUUAUAGGAUUGUAGACCCCUUCAGUUCCUUGGGUGCUUUCUCUAGCUUCUCCAUUGGGGGCCCUGUGUUCCAUCUCAUAGAUGACUGUGAGCAUCCACUUCUGUAUUUGCCAGGCACUGGCAUAGCCUCAUACGAGACAGCUAUAUCAGGAUCACGUCAGGUAAAUCUUUCUGGCAUAUGCAAUAGUGCCUUGAUUUGGUGGCUGAUUAUGGGUUGGAUCCCAGGGUGGGGUAGUCUCUGGAUAGUCCAUCCUUUUGUCUUAGCUCCAAACUUUGUCUCUGUAACUCCUUUCAUGGGUAUUUUGUUCCCUAUUCUAAGGAGGAAUGAAGUAUCCACCCAUUGGUCUUCCCUCUUCUUGAUUUUCUUGUAUUUUACAAAUUGUAUCUUGGGUGUUCUAUGUUUCUGGGCUAAUAUCCACUACUUUUACAGCAUGUAAAUAUGGCAAAAAUGUAACUAUAAUUUAUAGAUAUUACUUUUUCCAUUUCCUUUGGCAGGUACACUCUGCCCAACCACAUGCCAAUGCCUGACAGAAGUUCAGGUAGGCUGCUGCUCUGAAUCGCUUCCACCCUUUCCACCCUCUUGGUGCUACCCAAGACUGUAUCCCCUACCUUCUAAUUUCUUUGAACCAGUCUUCAAUUCUUUGGGAUACUCCUUUCUGGAUCAGAGGCCAAGCAGAUCACUAGAAUUCCAGGAUUCCACCUGCCCUCAGACCUCCUCCACCCUCUUUGUGCCCACCUUUCACUAUCCCUAAUGCCCUCUUCUAUCUUUAUCACCAUGUCCAAACUCUCAACUCAGGCAUGACCCCCUGCUUAAGAGGAGACCACACCUACCACCAGACAUCCAGCCCCAAAUUCAGGUUGAGAUCCCCUGCUCAACAACAGGGUACACAUACCAGAAGACCAAAAGGGAAACAAAAACCAAGGAACAAAACACCCACCCAACAAAGAAAAACUCAGAAACUAGUCUCUAGACCCAUAACCCCAAACUCAGAUGCCUAGAUGCCAGUGUAAGAACACAAUUAACAAUAGCCAGGUCAACAUGGCACCACCAGAGCCCAGAUAUCCUAUAACAACAAACCCUGAAUAUUUCAACACAGCUGAAGCAUAAGAAAAAAGAACUUAAAACCAACUUUAUGAAGAUGAUAGAGGUCCUUAAAAGAAGUGAGUAAAUCCUUUAAAGAAAUUGAGGAAAAGAGAAACAAACAAACAAAAAAAAUUGGAGGAAAUGAAUAAGUCCCUUAGAGAAAGCCAAGAAAGCUAAGAAAAAACAAGCAAACAAACAAAGAGUUGAUAGAAACAAAUACAACUGUUCAAGACCUGAAAGCAGAAACAGAAGCAAUAACGAAACCACAAACUAAGGGAAUUCUGAUAAUGCAAAAUCUAGGUAAUCAAACAGGAACUACAGAUGUAGGUAUCAGCAACGGAGUACAGGAGAUGGAAGAGAGAACCAUAGAUGUUAGAGAAAUAUUAGUAGAAAUAAAUACACUUAAAGAAAAUGCUAAAUCUAAAAAAAAAAAAUCUGUCACAAAUAUCCAGAAAAUCUGGAGCAUACUAAGGAAGGAGAUAAAGAGAUUUAUGGAGUGAUCAUUGCAGUAUAAGAUCCUACCCAGCUAAGAUUUUGUUUUCAAAGAAGAGCUAAUACUAAUCAAAAUUAUUUCACAAAAUAGAUACAGGGAGAACAUUGCCAAAUUCAUUUUAUGAGACCACAGUCACCCAGAUACUCAAAUCACACAAAGAUUCC
rnacentral:lncRNA from 1 species